UGUCCAUCUGCUCCAGCAUGUCCACGUUCACCUCCAUGGAGGAAAUGCUGCCUAAGGGGGCUGAAUACACAGAGGCCAGCAAAAAGUCCUUGUCCCUGCCUCAAACUGCUGUCUGGAGGAGCCUGUCUGAAGCCAGUGACUAUGCGGGGUGCCAGCCUGGGUACCCAUGUGCAGUGACUUCAGUUAAGUGGUGUGAGACAUAGGGAAGAAGAAAUCCACGUCAUGCUGGAAAACCUCCUCAAAGAACUUCUGCCGGUCACGUAGUUUCAGCUGCUGCUGCUGCAUCUGCUCGGUGUCCAGGCCCCGCUGUGCCUGCUCCAUGUUGGCUGGGGAGAAAGGUGAGGAGGGUUGGACCAGGCAGGGCUGUCCGAGCCCUUCUGCUUGUCCCAGCUCAUGCAAUAGGGCUGUGCUGGGGGUAGGUGAGUCCCUUCUGCUCAGCUUUAUGAGCGCACAUGGAUUUAGUCACCAUGAAUAGAUGUUACUCGGUGGAAUGGCAGCAUCACCAGCAUUUGCUGUGCUGGAGCCGCAGAUCUCGCUUCUGAAAUGCAGAGCAGCCAGAAGUCAGGAGCUCAUAUGCUGCGUUCACAACUGUUGAAGUGAGUUAUCAAGGGGUCAAAGGGUGGUGUUAUGAGAUCAGCCAUGGUUUGCACAUGUUCAAGUUUCAAUUUCCUUGCUAUAAAACAGAGGGUUGUCUGUGAAUGCUAACAAGCUGAGGAAACUCCCAGGGACAACUGGCAUUAGUGCUCCAAGGCUUUCUGGGAUGUAUUAAGGAAUAAAAGGCAUCAGCAACCCAUCACCCCGCACACGCACACCCCUGCCGCCACCGUCACUAUAAAUACAGCCGCACCCACGCUCGCAGGCUCCUUGUUCACAUCCCCGCCCGCACAGCCAGCUUGGCUUCUGCCUCUACAAACAUUUUCAUUCCUGUAAUUCCUCCUGCAGUUCAACGCCGGUGCCUGUGGCCCGGCUCACACCAGAGGGAGUGAUGGGAGCCCUCGGGCUGUUGCUGCAUCCCUGGGCCUUGUACCUCCCUUUCGGGUUGGGUACCCACAACAGUGAGGACCCAAAUGACAUAGAGCUGGUGGCCCCGGCUGUUCCCAGGCUGGUGUUUGACCUCAGCCAUUCCCGGUUUCCUCUCUGCUGCUCUUGGCCUAGCGGCACAAGGAAAAUGUGAUUAGUGGAGCAGGCAGUGCAGUAACUAAGGAAACCAAACAAACAUCCUCUGCUCUGCCUGAGCAUGGCCCAAACGCUCUGCUCCUCCAGGCCGGAGCAGCAUCCCCACCCUGUCUGGCAGGAGUGGGGUGAGGACAGCAGGGGGGCUGCCUGUCAGUGGUGUGUAGCAGCACAGGACCCAAAUGGGAGAUAGGUGGUGAGCCUGGUGAGGUGUCCUGGAGAACAACGUCACGUUUUCCUGAGAGCCCUCCCCAGGGCUCCUCUGGACCCUGUUUCUGGGGCAUCCUUCAGCUAAACCCCAUCUUCUGCAGGCGCCUGCCCCAGGAGGCUGGGUUGUGCCUGCAGCACAGCGCCGGGAUGCGCCGUGACUCAGGGCCAGUCACCAUGUCCUUUCUUGAAGAGAUUCUGGUCCUCUUCUGGCUGCUCAGUGUCUUCCUGCGAUGCCCAGGGCAGCAAUCUGGGCUGCCUGAAGGGGCCUUUGCCUUGGCACGUCUGACCUAAGCACUGGGUGCCUGCUCUGGUGCAGAGGCUCGGUGUGCUGUGCAGCGCGCAGGCUGAUGGCUGCGGUGAGGGACACACUGUGCUGGUGGAGCUUUCCUCACAAGGCUGACCAGCAGCUGCAGCCCAGUGCCACUGGGGUACAGCAAAAAACUCCUACCUCCCCUGUGCUAUCUGCAAGAGAAUGGAACCAGGACAAGGAGCAGGUGACCAGAGCACUGAUUACGGACGUGGCUCACUUCAGCAGCUGGAGCCACCCCUGUAACUGUCCCAGGCAGAGCUCUGCUUCCCAGCCCAGCUGUGCCAAAUCCAUGGCAAACUGUAGCAGUUCACCACACUGAGGGGAUUCCAUCAGGCUCCAGCUGCAGGAAGGCUGGACUUGGCAGAGGCUGUGCUGGCUUCAGAUUUGGGGCGACAGACCGGCUCUCUGUGCAGCAUCGUGCCAAAGGGACGGCAGUGUGGAGGUAAGGAGGAGAGGCUCUAAAUCCUCUUGCAGUGCAAAUACAAAAUAAACCAAAAUGCUGGCAGGUGCUGUCCCGAGCGCCGUGAGCGUGGCUGAGCUGUGCCAUUAAUGUUCUUACUGUCCACCUCUCCCCAGCACGUGACCGAUACUCAGGGUAAGUGUGCUUGGGGAGAGUCA